GUGUGGAGUACGGCCCACCANGNCGACGACGGGUAGCUGGUCUGAGAGGACUACCAGCCACACUGGAACUGAGAUACGGUCCAGACUCCUACGGGAGGCAGCAGUGGGGAAUAUUGCACAAUGGGCGAAAGCCUGAUGCAGCGACGCCGCGUGAGGGAUGAAGGCCUUCGGGUCGUAAACCUCUUUCGGCAGGGACGAAGCGAUCAGUGACGGUACCUGCAGAAGAAGCCCCGGCUAACUACGUGCCAGCAGCCGCGGUAAGACGUAGGGGGCGAGCGUUGUCCGGAUUCAUUGGGCGUAAAGCGCGCGUAGGCGGCUGCGCAAGUCGGUUGUGAAAUUCCGGGGCUCAACCCCGGAACUGCGUCCGAUACUGCGUGGCUAGAGGUAGGUAGGGGAGAUCGGAAUUCCUGGUGUAGCGGUGAAAUGCGCAGAUAUCAGGAGGAACACCGGUGGCGAAGGCGGAUCUCUGGGCCUUACCUGACGCUCAGGCGCGAAAGCUAGGGGAGCGAACAGGAUUANAUACCCUGGUAGUCCUAGCCGUAAACGUUGGGUGCUAGGUGUGG
rnacentral:rRNA from 1 species